rnacentral:rRNA from 1 species
GACGAACGCUGGCGGCGUGCUUAACACAUGCAAGUCGAACGGAAAGGCCCUGCUUUUGUGGGGUGCUCGAGUGGCGAACGGGUGAGUAACACGUGAGUAACCUGCCCUUGACUUUGGGAUAACUUCAGGAAACUGGGGCUAAUACCGGAUAGGAGCUCCUGCUGCAUGGGGGGGGUUGGAAAGUUUCGGCGGUUGGGGAUGGACUCGCGGCUUAUCAGCUUGUUGGUGGGGUAGUGGCUUACCAAGGCUUUGACGGGUAGCCGGCCUGGGAGGGGGACCGGCCACAAUGGGACUGCGAUACGGACCAGACUCCUACGGGAGGCAGAAGUGGGGAAUAUUGCACAAUGGGCGGAAGCCUGAUGCAGCAACGCCGCGUGCGGGAUAACGGCCUUCGGGUUGUAAACCGCUUUCGCCUGUGACGAAGCGUGAGUGACGGUAAUGGGUAAAGAAGCACCGGCUAACUACGUG